GAUGAACGCUGGCGGCGUGCCUAAUACAUGCAAGUCGAGCGAACAGACGAGGAGCUUGCUCCUCUGACGUUAGCGGCGGACGGGUGAGUAACACGUGGAUAACCUACCUAUAAGACUGGGAUAACUUCGGGAAACCGGAGCUAAUACCGGAUAAUAUAUUGAACCGCAUGGUUCAAUAGUGAAAGACGGUUUUGCUGUCACUUAUAGAUGGAUCCGCGCCGCAUUAGCUAGUUGGUAAGGUAACGGCUUACCAAGGCGACGAUGCGUAGCCGACCUGAGAGGGUGAUCGGCCACACUGGAACUGAGACACGGUCCAGACUCCUACGGGAGGCAGCAGUAGGGAAUCUUCCGCAAUGGGCGAAAGCUUGACGGAGCAACGCCGCGUGAGUGGUGAAGGUCUUCGGAUCGUAAAACUCUGUUAUUAGGGAAGAACAAAUGUGUAAGUAACUAUGCACGUCUUGACGGUACCUAAUCAGAAAGCCACGGCUAACUACGUG
rnacentral:rRNA from 1 species